UCUAUUCUUGCUAAGUUUAGUUGAAUAUUUGCAUGAAAAUCAUAUAAUGAAUCAUUUACUAGUCAUUGUGUUUAUUUUGCAGAAAAGUGCGACAAGGCACGAAAUCCUUCUACUACAAAUGAUCAAGUGAUGGACCCGAGCGAGAAGAAAGAAGUUACCAGGGGCAAGCUAAAGAAGUGGGAGGAUCUUCUUGUGAAGAAAGAAGAAGAGGAAGAGGGCUAAUGUGCAAAAGUGGCAGAUCAGAUGGGGAACAAAAUCCCUAGCGGCUCCCUUCGAUCUCUUCGGGCCUGGACAUCUCUCUCUCUCCCCCGCCUCCUUCUCCACCUCGGCCGCCGCCGCGGCCAGGCCGGCGUGGCGGCGCGCCACCGCGCGACUCCCCUUACCUCUGCUGCAGCUCUUCUUCCCCAUCGCCAACCUGCGGCUGCUUCUUCUUCCCACGCCCCUGCUGCUGCUUGCUCUCUCAAUCUCUGCUACUACUUCUCCUUCCCUCCGCUGCUUGCUGCUUCUCCUUCUUCUUCAACCUGCUGCUGCUCGCCCUCAACCUCCCUCUGCUGCAGCUCUUCUCUAAGCCCUCAUGCCCCUGCUGCUCUUCACUAACUCCACGUUCUUGCUGCUCCUCUUCUCCUAAUCUUGUUGUUGCUCUUCCUGAACCCCUGCUGCUGCUCCUUCUCUCCUCCACCUCUUGCUGCUGCUUCUCUCUGAACCGAACUGCUGCUGCUCCCUCUCCCACGAACCUGCUGCUGCUCCUCUCUCCCUGAUGCCCCUACUUCUUCUCUGAAUUCCAAACUGUUGUUGUUCUUUGUCUCUCCCCCUCUCUGUGUGUGAGUGAGUGUGUGCGUGUGCGUGCGUGUGUGUGUGUAUGUGUGUGUAAUUUCUGUGAACAAUUAGAGUGGAGACUUGAUAGAUUGUACUCUGUUUUACACUAUUUCAAUAUAUGUGAAUCGCCCGUUCGUUAUUUGUCUGUUACAUUCAGGUUACUAGUUGCGAAUCUUGUGUUGUAAUUGUUCAUUGUGAAGUCAGAUGUAUGAACAUGUUUGAUUCUUUGUCCCUGUGAUAGGUUCCAGUAUAUGCGUUUCUUUUAUGUUGUCUCAAUUUCUUGUGAUAUACAUGAUAGUGAUAUGAACCAUUUCUGUUCCUGUCUUACAAUCUUGCAUUAGACCUUUUCUUACUUUCUAGCUUUUAUAUUAUAUUUGAAGUCUGCUUGUGUUAGCAUUUUUAUUUCUCAAGUAAAACAGAAAACACCUAAAAUAUAGUGAAGACAAUCUUGUUCUCUUUUGCUUGUUCGCAUUCUCUUAGUCGGCGAUCUUCAGGAAUAACCUUGUUAGUUUAGGUUUUAUUUUCCGCUUUCAUCACCCAAUAUCGUGUUACCUAGCUUUAGCCGAAUAUAGUUGCUGUCGCCUAGUCCCUGUGGAGAACACGACACUCACAGAAUGGGGCGUUAAAACCCCAUUGUACCUACAACUGAUCAUUUUGGCGUCGUUGCCGGGGACUAGCGUCGUGCGACCGUGUUAGGCUAUAGACUAGGUUUUGCUUCUGUUUCUAUCUGGUGCCAUAUAUUUGUGAUAUAUCUCUUACCCCUAACCACUGUUCUAGUUAUCUUCUCUUUCUUUUCUUGUUCAUUUUGUAGGUUGAAUUGUCUUCUUGGAAAUGGCAUUCUACUGAGAUCAUCAUGCUUAUGCGAGCAACACUCCAAACAGCACGGAAAGUAUUCAAGAACUGAUAAGUAAGAUUUCCCAUCGAUUAGAUGAUUUAGCUCGGCAGCGAGAAGUAGUUUUUGAGGAUAGGCCUAGCUCUUAUGAUCCUUAUUCUAGAGGCCAUCCUUAUGUUGCUCCUACCUGCCAUAUUUGUGGAUUUCAGGGCCAUUCGCCCACUGAAUGUCAGAGUGGUUAGUCUCACCCUCCAGAUUGUUUUGGUAUGAACUUUGCUCAACAGCAUGGCUCAUGCCAAAACAAUUACUCAUAUGGGUGGCUGAAAACCAGAGUAUGUCAUAUAGGAGCAACAACCUUGAGAUCUCAUCGUUUGCUUCUAGUAAUCAUAUGCAGGGAAUUAAGUACAAUGAGGAGAGCCACAACUAUGUACCACCACAAUUUUAUUCACCUCCUACUCAUAUACCUCAACACCAGGAGAUGUUGCCAAUGGAGUUAAAUGGUCCUCCAUUUGGUCAACCAACACCUUCAACACAAGUGCCUACUCAAGAUGAGUUCGAUGACAUAGAAAAAGCUCGCACUUUUGAGUCUCGAGUUCACUUGGAGUGCCGAGGAUGAUCCUAUUAGGCCGGUGAUACUAGAUGAAAUGAAGAAGAUCAAGAGUGGGAAUGAGCUAGUGGAAGAAGUAAGGAAGAUUGAGAAGAACAUCAACGCUGGCAGCACUAUCUCUUCACAGCUAGAGCUGAGAAUUUCUGGGAUAUCCCUUGAUACAUGUGAGGUUCCAACACCUUCACAUUCAGCUGAGCAAGAUAGCGAGAGUCCAGAGGAAGAGAUACUUCAGAUCCAAGAAGAAAUUCUCGAAGCCAAGGCACAAGAUGAUCCAGAGCUCGAAUACACAAAUGAACAAGUUGAAGAUCCAAUGUCUAUCUCUUCCGAAGAAGUAGAAGAAGCUGCUGUAGAUGAAGAACCUGAGAUUCAUUUGCCUAUUGUCAUACAAGAGUGUGAUGUGUCAGGUUCAUCCAAUCCUCUUAAUGACAUGUCUCAUUAUGUUUUGUUUGAUUCUGUUAGACCUUUCAGUCUGAGCAUUUCAUAGUUGUGGAUGACACUAGGAGAGUUGGGACAAUUUUCGUUGGUUUAUUUCUCACACAAUGCCAUUCCAACCUGAGGGGUUGGGGAUACAUACUUAUAGGCUGCUAGCCAGCCAAGCAUAUGCUAAGAUGCUAGUCUAAGAUGCUGCUAAGAUGCCAGUCUAAGAUGCUAGUCUAAGAUGCUAUCCUAACUGCCAGUCCUUGAUGGCCAGGGAUUCUAUCCUAACUGCCACAAGGACCAUGUGCUGCAGCCAAAGGACCAUGUGCUGCAGCCCCACAAAGACCUUAGUACAUAGACUUAUCCAUCAUCCUCCCCCUAAGUCUUGUACGUCGUUUUGUGGGAGGGUUGAAUCAUCCCGAUCCUGGAGCAGAGUGCGAGGAACUUGAUCCUCCCAAGAGGCUUGGUGAGCAGGUCUGCGAGCUGGUCCGUGGUGUUGAUGUAGCUCGCCUCGAUGCUCCCUUCUUCCACACAGCUGCGAAUGAAGUGGUACCUCAGUCGGAUGUGCUUGCCCCGUUCGUGGAAAACGGGGUUCUUUGCCAGGGCCAGGGCGGACUUGCUGUCCACCAGGAGCUGCACCGUUCUGGUGUCUUGAACAAGAUCACCAAGCAGUCGAGCGAGCCAGAGUGCCUGAGUGCAGGCGGUGGAGGCCGCUAUGUACUCAGCCUCACAGCUGGACAGGGCCACCACCUGCUGCUUGACUGAUUGCCAGCUCACGAGAUACUUGCCGAGGAAGAAGAGGAUCCCGCUCGUGCUCUUGCUGGUGUCGAUGUCGAUGAGCCCGGGGUGGUGACUGCCGGGGCUGGAGUGUGCGGCGUCGCCGGUUGUGGUGCCGUCGGCGUAGCAGGCACCGGAGUCGAUGUGGUUUUGGGGGCCGGGGUAGGCGUGCCCGGCGACGAGGAGCUGGUUGCUCCCCCGGCUUCUUUGAAGUGGACGUACUCGACAAUGAAGUCGUCGUAUGUCGGCGUCGAGCCGUCGUCCACCGCCUUGUCCCAUUGCCACCCUCGCCCUUCGUUGAACACGACGUCUCGCGCCGUGCGCACACGCUGUGUCUUUGGGUUGAGGAUGCGGUAGGCCUUUGAGCCCUCCGCGUAGCCGAUGAAGACUCCCGGAGUGCUCCUGUCGUCGAGCUUGCCGAUGUGACCGAGCUCCUUGGCGAACGCAAGGCAGCCAAAGACCCGCAAGUGGGAGACCGCCGGCUUCCGCCCAUGCCAGGCCUCGUACGGUGUCCUGCCGUCGAGUGCCUUGGUAGGCGAGCGGUUUAGGAUGUAGACGGCUGUUAGCACCGCCUCUCCCCAGAAGACAGCCGGCAUCCCUCUCUACUUGAGGAGAGCUCGAGCCAUCCCCACAACCGUCUGGUUGCGCCGCUCGACGACGCCGUUUUGCUGCGGGCUGUACGGCGCGGAGUAGUGGCGCUGGAUGCCCUCAUCGGCGCAGUACGACGCGAAUUCAGCCGCCGUGAAUUCGCCGCCGUUGUCAGUGCGCAACACGCGCAAUUUGCGGCCGCUCUCCGCCUCCACACCAACCUGCGCGCGCCUGAUGGCGUCCGCCGCCUCUCCCUUACUGCCGAGGAUCAUCACCCACAUGUAACGGGAGAGAUCGUCGACGGGCAGCAGGAAGUAGCGUCGACCUCCUGGUGUGGCUGGCGUCACCGGGCCGCACAGGUCUCCGUGCACGAGCUCCAGCCUCUCCUUGGCCCGAAAACUCGCCUGUUGGGGAAAGGGGAGUCGUCUUUGCUUCGUCAUCACGCAGAUGUCGCAGAACUGCUCCACAUGGUCGAGGCAUGGCAGGCCUCGCACCAUCUCCUUGGCACUUAGACGCUUCAGGGCCUCAAAAUGAAGGUGCCCAAAGCGCUCAUGCCAUUGCCACGCCUCGUCGUCCCGACGGACAGCGAGACAGACCGGUUGUGCCACCUGCACAUCAAGGACGUAAACUCGAUUUCCACCUCUGGGUACCUUGGCGAGAAGGCGACCCUGGCGAUCCCAGAUGCGUAGGACCCCAUGCUCAAUCAGCACGCGUGAGCCGUUCUCAUCCAGCUGUCCCAAGCUGAUGAUGGAGUUCCUUAGCGCGGGGAUGUAGUAGACACCGGUGAGCAGCCGGUGCUCUCCCGCCUUGGUGGUGAAGAUGACGGAGCCGACGCCCUUAAUUUCCACAGCGGAGGCAUCCCCAAACUUGACGGAGCCUCGCGCAUCGGAGUCGAGCUCGGCGAAGAAUUCCCUUCGACCGGUCAUGUGGUGGGUGGCGCCGGUGUCGAGGCACCACCCCGUAGUCUUGUCCUUCCCGGAGCCAUCGCCGAGAAGAGCGUGCGCUUUUGGCUCGUCGAGGUGGACGAGAGCUUUUGCGACUGGUGUCGCUGAGGAUAGCUCAAUGCUUGCAUGCGCCAUGAACAGAGCCGUCUCUUCCUCCUUCGCCUGUGCGACGUGAGCCUGGCCUUGUCGUGGUUGCCGACACAUUGGCCCAAUGGCCAAACCGGCCAUAGUUGUGGCAACUGUUGUCUUGUGCCGGCUUGGGCUUGCCAGCGGCGCCGUCCUUGGCGCCUCCGCGGNNNNNNNNNNNNNNNNNNNNNNNNNNNNNNNNNNNNNNNNNNNNNNNNNNNNNNNNNNNNNNNNNNNNNNNNNNNNNNNNNNNNNNNNNNNNNNNNNNNNNNNNNNNNNNNNNNNNNNNNNNNNNNNNNNNNNNNNNNNNNNNNNNNNNNNNNNNNNNNNNNNNNNNNNNNNNNNNNNNNNNNNNNNNNNNNNNNNNNNNNNNNNNNNNNNNNNNNNNNNNNNNNNNNNNNNNNNNNNNNNNNNNNNNNNNNNNNNNNNNNNNNNNNNNNNNNNNNNNNNNNNNNNNNNNNNNNNNNNNNNNNNNNNNNNNNNNNNNCGCGUCUUAUGCUGCUUGCCACGCUUGCGGCCGCCCGUCGUGGAAGAAGGCUCCCCCUUCUUCCUGUCACCAAGGCUGGGAUCCCACUGCUCCCGAGUUAGGAGCAGCUUCCCGCCGGUGGUGAUGGGCCCCGAGGGAGGCUGUGGUUCAUCGGUGUCGACGACCUUGAGACGGCCUAUCGCCUCCUCGAUCGUCAUCGUGGAGAGGUCCAGCGACGACUCGAUCGAGCGAGCCAUCUGCUUGUACUUCUCGGGAAUGCACCGAAAAAGCUUCUCGACAGCUCUCUCCUCGGUGUAGGUGGCAUCGCCAAACUUCACCAUCUUGUGCAGCAGAGUGUUGAGACGGAGAGCAAAGUCAUCAACGUCCUCACCUGGCUUGAAAGCCAGGCUCUCCCACUCCUUACGAAGUGCCUGCAGAGUGGACUUGCGAGCACGGUCACUGCCGAUGCGUGCUGCGGCGAUGGCGUCCCAAGCCUCCUUGGCAGUCCGCUUGUUGGAAAGCGAGAACUGCAUCUCGGGCGGGACUGUGGCGAUGAGGGCGUCCAGCGCCCGUCGAUCCUCUAGGUGGUCGACGUUGCUGUCCUGGACUGCCUCCCACAUGCGCCGCACCUGGAGCCUGACCUUCAUGAUCCCGGCCCACUCGACGUAGUUGGUUUUAGUGAGGGUAGGCCACCCAACACUGGGACCAACAUCCCUGACCACAGUCCGGACCUCGUGGAGGCCGCGGUCCUGGUCGUUGCAGCCGCCGUCGCGGUGCGCGCCUCCACCUGGAGCGCGGGCGUGCUCGGCUGCCCACUGCGCUGUCCGCUCCUGCGCCACUUUGGCGCGAUCUGCGUCGGCGCCGUCAUCCGCAGGCGCGGAGCUGCUGGAGCUGCCGGGGCCGCCGCGGAGUGGCUUGGCAUCCGCCGUAGCCUCACGGGCUGCUUCUGCUGCUGCUGCUGCUGCUUCUACCUCCGCCCUGGCUGCUUCUACCUCCGCUCUGGCUGCUGCCAGCUCCUCUGCAGCCAGCCUCGACACCCUUGCCGCCGCAGCAGCUGCUGCUACAGCCGCUCGCUCACGCUCCUCUGCCACGGCGCGCUCGGCCUCCUGCUGGCGCCGCAUGCUCGAGGUAGCCGUGUGCUGAGAGCGACCUGCAGACAUGGCUCGCUGCAGGGGGGCUGUUGCGUGAAGAAGAGGCUGUUGUUGCCGAGCCGCUGCUCGACAGUCCAGAGGGAGGGAGGUAACCAGAGGCAGACGGAGCAACUGCUGCUACCGACUUGGGUUGCUCAGCUCCCGGUGAGGGAGGUAAGCAGGAAAUGCUCAGGGUACAAGAUAACCUGGCUCUGAUACCACUUGUUAGACCUUUCAGUCUGAGCAUUUCAUAGUUGUGGAUGACACUAGGAGAGUUGGGACAAUUUUCGUUGGUUUAUUUCUCACACAAUGCCAUGCCAACCUGAGGGGUUGGGGAUACAUACUUAUAGGCUGCUAGCCAGCCAAGCAUAUGCUAAGAUGCUAGUCUAAGAUGCUGCUAAGAUGCCAGUCUAAGAUGCUAGUCUAAGAUGCUGCUAAGAUGCCAGUCUAAGAUGCUAGUCUAAGAUGCUAUCCUAACUGCCAGUCCUUGAUGGCCAGGGAUUCUAUCCUAACUGCCACAAGGACCAUGUGCUGCAGCCCCACAAAGACCUUAGUACAUAGACUUAUCCAUCAGAUUCUACCUUGUUUUACAUGAUGCAAUCACUUAAGCUAGACUUGAAAAACUGUUUGCUUGGACAUGAUCAUACAUACCAUGUUAUUGGCAUUUCUCUCAUUUAUGAUGAUGACACUUAUUUUCCUCAUGCUAGACCUAUGCUUAAUGAAACAUCUCAUUCUCAUGCUAGUCUGGAGGUUAAUGAUUCACAUCAUCCUUAUGCUAGCAUGGAGCUUACUGAUUUAUACCAUCCUAAACAUGUGCUUUAUAGCUAUGCUUAUGUAAUUGGGUAUUCGAUUGGUGAUUUAGAGGGCAUCGACCCUGUCACUUGUAUUGUCUCUUUGGUGAGUUCUUUUUCAGGUUUUUGCAUGUGCACCAUUCAAUAUAUGCUGACCAGGUUCGAGGUGACAUUCCUUGGGACCCCGGUGGAUUCAGAGCAUGGUGAAGGGGGGAAGCAAUGGACACACGAAGAAGAGAGAAGCUGGAGCUUGCAAGUGGAAGCAAAAGGAGAAGAGCUGCAGUUCAAAGAGUGAUUGUGCGAGACCUACAUCAUAUAAGCCCGGUGAGCUGUUUCAUGACCCCAAUCUGAAUAUAUCAUCCAUUGAUAAUGCUGAAAUCAUUUGAUAUUUGAGUUGCUUAAGCCAUUUCUUAAAUGAUGUCCCACUAAAUUUUACCUUUGACAUAUGGUGCUUGAUGUGAAUAUGUGAACUGAAUUGUGAAUGCCUUGUAGACUAGUGAUCUACAUAGUGCUUGCUUUGCUGAAAUUAGUGAAAGUUAUUAGUUUUGAGUGCUCAAAUCCCUAGUACACUAGAAAGCUCCAUCAUUUUCUGCAUUUACUUUGAUACACCUAGAUCAUCAAGUGUUAGAUGCUGAAUUUGUGCCAAGUGUGUUCCCAUUCAGAGCAAUCACUUAACCACUAUGGAUUAGCAUGCUAUGUUCUCUGGAUCGGUAGCAUGUGAACCAGACAUGGAUGAGUGAUGAUUCUUGUUUCCUUCCUUAUGUUUCAUGCCAUUGUAAUUCCUUUGUUCAAUAUGUAAUAAUGAAUAUAAGUCUAGUCUACCUAUAGUAGCAUGUCAUGUUCCCUGGAUCGGUGGCAUGUGAAAUCUGGUAGCUUGGACAGUAAUGAAUUAAUAAUAAAAAUGUAAUUGUCGAAACAGGUGUAUACCAUGUUCUCUGGAUCGGUGGUAUGUUCCUUUGGGGAGACAAUUAAAAAAAACCUAACAAUUGGUCGAGGCAGGUGUAUACCAUGUUCUCGGGAUCGGUGGUAUGUUCCUUUGGUGAGAUCGAUAAUAUAUUAUCAAGCGAGUUUCAAUUUUAAUAAGUGGUUCUACCAUAAUGUUAUGUUCCUAGUAAUAGGUGUCUCUUGGGAUCAUGCUCUCUUUAGGAACCUUUUGGCACAAUCAGCAUUUGAACUUGUUAAUCUUCUUUUAUCAUUGUAAAAGUUUAAAUUGAUUGAGUUUACUAGUGUCCUAUUGCUUUGUAGCACUCCUAACCAUUAAUUUUCACUAACCAAGUCUGAAGCAUGCACUGUUUAGAGAUCUACUUCACUUGGACAUUCUCUAGUCAGCUCACUAUUCACUAUCUAGCUCUUGUCAUAUUCCUUUACUUGAGGACAAGUAAAGAUUUAAGUGUGGGGGAACUUGAUAAGCACAUUUCAUAUACAUAAUUUUGGCAUUGAAUUAUACCAUUCGUUGAGUUAUGCCCAUCUAUUCUUGCUAAGUUUAGUUGAAUAUUUGCAUGAAAAUCAUAUAAUGAAUCAUUUACUAGUCAUUGUGUUUAUUUUGCAGAAAAGUGCGACAAGGCACAAAAUCCUUCUACUACAAAUGAUCAAGCGAUGGACCCGAGCGAGAAGAAAAGAAGUUACCAGGGGCAAGCUAAAGAAGUGGGAGGAUCUUCUUGUGAAGAAAGAAGAAGAGGAAGAGGGCUAAUGUGCAAAAGUGGCAGAUUAGAUGGGGAACAAAAUCCCUAGCGGCUCCCUUCGAUCUCUUCGGGCCUGGACAUCUCUCUCUCUCCCGCCUCCUUCUCCACCUCGGCCGCCGCCGCGGCCAGGCCGACGUGGCGGCGCGCCACCGCGCGACUCCCCUUACCUCUGCUGCUCUCUUCUUCCCCAUCGCCAACCUGCGGCUGCUUCUUCUUCCCACGCCCCUGCUGCUGCUUGCUCUCUCAAUCUCUGCUACUACUUCUCCUUCCCUCCGCUGCUUGCUACUUCUCCUUCUUCAACCUACUGCUGCUCGCCCUCAACCUCCCUCUGCUGCAGCUCUUCUCUAAGCCCUCAUGACCCUGCUGCUCUUCCCUAACUCCACGUUCCUGCUGCUCCUCUUCUCCUAAUCUUGUUGUUGCUCUUCCUGAACCCUUGCUGCUGCUCCUUCUCUCCUCCACCUCUUGCUGCUGCUUCUCUCUGAACCGAACUGCUGCUGCUCCCUCUCCCACGAACCUGCUGCUGCUCCUCUCUCCCUGAUGCCCCUACUUCUUCUCUGAAUUCCAAACUGUUGCUGUUCUUUGUCUCUCCCCCUCUUUGUGUGUGAGUGAGUGUGUGCGUGUGCGUGCGUGUGUGUGUGUAAUUUCUGUGAACAAUUAGAGUGGAGACUUGAUAGAUUGUACUCUGUUUUACACUAUUUCAAUAUAUGUGAAUCACCCAUUCAUUAUUUGUCUGUUACAUUCAGGUUACUUACUAGUUGCGAAUCUUGUGUUGUAAUUGUUCAUUGUGAAGUCAGAUGUAUGAACAUGUUUGAUUCUUUGUCCCUGUGAUAGGUUCCAGUAUAUGGUUUCUUUUAUGUUGUCUCAAUUUCUUGUGAUAUACAUGAUAGUGAUAUGAACCAUUUCUAUUCCUGUCUUACAAUCUUGCACUAGACCUUUUCUUACUUCCUAGCUUUUAUAUUAUAUUUGAAGUCUGCUUGUGUUACCAUUUUUAUUUCUCAAGUAAAACGGAAAACAC
rnacentral:lncRNA from 1 species